GCUUCUGCAUUAUUAAGUAAAUUAGUGGGCCAGUACGCAUUAAAUAUUUUCUAUUUGCUGGCAGCAUACCCUUUGUUUUCUUUUGAAUCUGCAUUGUUAAUUAAAUUAGUGGGUCAAUAUGCAUUAAAUGCAUCCUAUUUGCUGCAGUAUUAAUUAAAUAGGUGGGCCAGUACGCAUUAAAUAUUUUCUAUUUGCUGGCAGCAUACCCUUUGUUUUCUUUUGAAUCUGCAUUGUUAAUUAAAAGUAGUGGGUCAAUAUGCAUUAAAUGCAUCCUAUUUGCUGCAGCAUUAAUUAAAUUAGUGGGCCAGUACGCAUUAAAUAUUUUCUAUUUGCUGGCAGCAUACCCUUUAGUUUCUUUUGAAUCUGCAUUGUUAAUUAAAUGAGUGGGUCAAUAUGCAUUAAAUGCAUCCUAUUUGCUGCAGCAAAUACGCUGCAUAGCAACCAUGCUCAAGGGAGGAUCUCUAGACGUUCUGAUACUACUAUACUAGCCCGACGGCGGGCACUAUCAUCAUGACAUAUAUAUGGUCUCUGUUGUUAAAAUUAUUUUUUUUCAUUGAAGUGCAUCUAAAAAUAUAUUAUAUGCUUUGUCUAUAUCCGGUCUCUGUAUUUCUUUGCCCACCAGUUAUUGCACUCUCUUUUCAUCUUUCUCCAUUGCCUCUCUUGCUGGUUGUUGCACCAUCAGUUUAGUUUUUUUCCCUCUUUUCAUUGCCUCUCUUACUAUUUUUUUUUAGUUUGUUUUUUUAUGCAUCCAUAAUUAAUCUGUGUGGUUCCUUUGUUUUCAGCAGAUUUGUUGAGCUUUUCUAGCCUUCUUUUCGGUUGGGUUGCUGCUUUGUUCACGUUAACGCUUGCUUGCCUUACGCUGCUGGUAUGUGCAUGUAUUAUUGGUCUGCAAGAUUAAUGGUUGUCUUCUUCUUGCUAUGUUGAACUGUGAGACCAGCUUCUCUUUUUUUUUUUUCCAUUUGUUUUUUAACCAACCAGCAAGGGUGUUGCUUGCUAAGAAAUUGUAUUCAAAUUCGUUUCUGCUGUAUUUUCUUCCCUUUUGAUGGUUGUUGAAUUUGUGCUUUAGAUUCCCAUCUUUAUUUAUUUAGCCAAUUCAUGUUGCAAUUUAUAUUUGUUCUUUU
rnacentral:lncRNA from 1 species